CCUACGGGAGGCAGCAGUGGGUGAUAUUGGACAAUGGGGGGAACCCUGAUCCAGCGACGCCGCGUGAGUGAAGAAGUAUUUCGGUAUGUAAAGCUCUUUCAGCAGGGAAGAAAGAAAUGACGGUACCUGACCAAGAAGCCCCGGCUAACUACGCGCCGGCAGCCGCGGUAAUACGUAGGGGGCAAGCGUUAGCCGGAAUUACUGGGUGUAAAGGGAGCGUAGACGGUUAAGUAAGUCUGGAGGGAAAUGCCGGGGCCCAACCCCGGGACUGCGCGGGAAACUAGUGAACUUGAGUGCAGGAGAGGUAAGCGGAAUGCCUAGUGUAGCGGUGAAAUGCGUAGAUAUUAGGAGGAACACCAGUGGCGAAGGCGGCUUACUGGACUGUAACUGACGUUGAGGCACGAAAGCGUGGGGAGCAAACAGGAUUAGAUACCCUUGUAGUC
rnacentral:rRNA from 1 species